UAAUCGCAGGCUCGUAAUAAAGUUCUCCUGUUAAACUAGUAUUACAUAAACCAUUUAUGGUAAAUUCCACUUCCAGCACAGCUCCCUGUUAAGUGUCUGUAGGGGAGCGAACAUAAUUGAGAAAAAGCAAUUAUAUAUGUGAAAGAUCGAUUAUAUCUGAUGCCAUGGCUUUGAAGGAAGUCCUGGGGAAAAAUCAGUCUGACUGUGCUAGGACUGUGUUAUACCUGUAGCAUCUAAGAUGCAAAUCCGAGCAAAGGAAGCCCAGCCUGGUUUCUCCUGUGUGCGGGGACUUUUGGGAGCCCCCAAACCUCUCUGCUGCUGGCAGCUGCAGAGGAUUGUCUGGGUGUGCGAUCUGCGGGGAUGGAUCAUCUGCGGUAAUGGAUCAUCUGCCGGGGAGCCACCUACCUUGCUGCUUCAGCCGCUGCAGUCUUCCGGAUACCAAGGGGACGAUUUUGAAGCAGGUCGGAGGGGACGCUUAGGAGCAAUCCUGUCUACUGCCCUGGAGAGCAAGUUGUUUCAAUUCUCAACCAGACCAUCAACAGGAUCACUGGCAGAGCCAACAUUAAAUCCCUCCAAGGCUUCUUGGAAUCCUAUUGGAUCCAAUAACCUCUUUGGGUGGACCAUUCUAAUAGGCACCUCGCUCCUGCAGAGAUGGAAAGUGGUUGUAAGUCCAACCUUAACCAGAUGGUGGUCUGUCCAUGACAAUGGGGAGAUCGUAGGAGUCCCCACCCAUGGAACACCACCCUGUUCAGAGUAAAAGACCAGAUCAAGCGUGUGACCUGCAAUAUGCGUCGGUCCAGAGACCACUUGGGAUAGGCCCAUAGUUGUCAUGGCCGCUAUGAACUCCUGAGCUACCCCGGACAGAUUGGUCUUGAAAUGAACAUUGAAGUCCCCCAUGACCAAAAGUCUGGGAGAGUCCAACGCAAGUCCUGCAACCAAGUCUGUGAGCUCAGUAAGGGAUUCCGUUGGGCAGUGGGGCAAUACCACCAACAGAAGUCCCAAUCUAUUCCUGGUCCCCAAACUCAAGUACACACAUUCAAUAUGGUACGAUACCCUAACAGGGACCCUGGUAAGGGAGAUGUUAUCCUUAUAGACCACAGCCACUCCAUCUCCCUGCCCACAUCCCUUCACCCGCUCCUCUACAGAAUAUCCUGGAGGAAGAAGCUGGGACCAGACUGGGACAUUAGCCUCCCCCAACCAAGUCUUGGUAAUACACACCAGGUCAGCCCCUUCAUCCAUAAUCAAAUCAUGGAUGAGUUCAGGUUUAUUUUGAACCGACCUGGUAUUGCAGAGGAGCAAGGUAAGGCUAUGUGGGUUGUUGGCAGUGCUCCCCGAGAUAAAAGAGCUGGCAGGACAGCCGUAAGGGGAGACAGCUAUUAAGUUUCUGACUAACCUCUGCAAUGUAGAGUGUGUGUACCCAGCUGUGUAGGGUCCCAGCUAACUUUGCCUGUACCCAGGGACUGUAUUGCCUCCAUCUUCUUGGCCCCUCAACUGGGUGAGUACUCAGGCCUGCCCACGGCCAGUGGGAAGGUCCAACACCCCUUUAUCCCUAAGUUUUUGGUCUAAAUAGGGCCUCCUGGUGGGUUUGGGGGGAGGUAUAUUGUAUUAGUUUUAUUGUAUUUCUGUAUUGUGUGUUGAAUGGUAUAGAUGGAUUUUGUGCAGGGUACUAGGUUUUUUAAAUUUAUUUUUAAAUUAAGCCGGUGAGGGAGGUGGGGGGGAAGGGAAGGCAGGGG